rnacentral:rRNA from 1 species
GACGAACGCUGGCGGCGUGCUUAACACAUGCAAGUCGAACGGAAACGCCCUGCUUUCGUGGGGUGCCCGAGUGGCGAACGGGUGAGUAACACGAGAGCAACGUGCUCUUCAUUUUGGGAUAACUUCACGAAAGUGGGGUUAAUACCGGACAGGAGCCCCCGCUCCGUGGUGGGGGUUGGAAAGUUUCAGCGGUCGGGGAUGGACGCGCGGCUUAUGAGCUUGCUGGUGGGGUAGUGGCAGACCAAGGCAUUGACGGGUAGCCGGCCGGGGAGGGUGGACGGCCACCUUGGGACUGCGAUACGGCCCAGACUCCUACGGGGGGCAGCGGUGGGGAAUAUUGCCCAAUGGGCGGGAGCCUGAGGCAGCAGCGCCGCGUGCGGAAUGACGGCCUUCGGGUUGUAAACCGCUUUCGCCUGUGACGAAGCGUGAGUGACGGUAAUGGGUAAAGAAGCACCGGCUAACUACGUG